rnacentral:rRNA from 1 species
AACGACUCUCGGCAACGGAUAUCUCGGCUCUCGCAUCGAUGAAGAACGUAGCGAAAUGCGAUACUUGGUGUGAAUUGCAGAAUCCCGUGAACCAUCGAGUUUUUGAACGCAAGUUGCGCCCGARGCCUUCGGCUGAGGGCACGUCUGCCUGGGCG